GUGCUCGCUUCAGCAGCACAUGUAUUAAAUUGGAAUGAUACAGAGAAGAUUAGCAUGACCCCUGUGCAGGGAUGACACACAAAUUUGUGAAACAUUCCAUAAUUUU